UUCAUUAACUACUCCUGGAGCAUGAGGACAGUGCAGACAAAUGCCCAACAAGCACUGCUAAUGGUCUACGAGAGGUCCAUAAGCGGUUCUGCUCUUCUCUGCAAUCGUUUUGCAUCUACCAAAUUAGUUUUGAUUACCAUAUACUGGGUAAUUUAGCCCAUCUGAUAGGCGAGGACAAACAUUGGGGCUGCCCUCUGGACAUUUCCAGCUUGCUUUAGGACUAGCACUGGGAACCAAAAGACUCCCUGGGCACAAAAAUAGACAGCAAAAAAAGAAAAGUAAAGUGCUAUCGUCCUAUGGCCUUGUUUCAGCAAGUAACUUUGAACUGCCCCCUGCAUGUAAAUAUUUGAAGUCUCACUUGUAUUCGGGAGGGUGUUUUCUACACAGAAUAUUUUUCUGCUUUGUGCUGUUGAAAUCCUAGCCUGGAUGUGCCUGAGUGACUUCAGCAAGCGUCUGAGUUUCAGACCGGGAAUAGUGCAGCUGCAGACACUCAAAAAACUUGCUCUUGGAAGAGUGAACAAAGGAGCAUUGUGCCAACACCCACCAAGCAGGGCCUGGAUCCUUGUACAGCACACUUGGCUUCAGAGGAGCCUUGCACUUUCCUCUCAUUUUAUUCGGUGUCGAGGAUUUGGGCAUUAGCUCAAAUAAUAUCAGAGGAUCAAAGCCAACUUUGAAAGUAUUAGGGAGAUUACAAAGCCAAGGCUGGAUUCUGCCUGCAUGUGGAGUAGCCCCAGGAAAGGCAUUCCCCGGCAAUCCCCGAUGCAGAGUGCCUGCUACCGCAGCUCGUCUGUGCAGGACUGCAGCUCCUCCGAGCACCGACUGCAGUUCUUCUUGAACCCUGCAUGCAUGAAAACCAAGUGAAAAAUCCUUAUUCCCUCCCUUCCCCGCAACACGAAAGCACCAAGAUAAGGACCAAGCAGAAUCUGGCCCCAAAGUGCCGAGCAGAAAGGAAGCUGAACAACCCAGAAAUAUGAGUGCGGAGGAAAGGGAAAGGUGACCUUUAUUUACUGAAGUUGAUUUCCUCGCAGUCCAUGGUUUUCUCUCACCCCAGAGCCCUUUCGUGACCUUUACAAGACCCGGUGCAGAUAAUCAAUCAAAUGGAUCCCAAGGAGUUCACUGAAAAGUUUUGACCCACUGGGUUUGGUUAGGUGGUGAGCGAAGGCCUAUUUGUUUCAUCCGCUUGACUCCUCAUCUGUACAGGAGCUGCAUUUGAUCAGAAUCGACCGCAUCUCAAAAGCAGCCAAGGAAAAAGCAUUCAAAUUCCUUGUCCUCUCAUCAUCUCUCCCACCAUCACCAUGCUGCUUGGGUGAACAUAUGUCCCAUACAACCCAGGCAGCCCAAGCUACUGAUAUGGUGCUAGACUUACAAAAGCACAUUGGAUGCAGAUCCUUAGCCUACCCCACUGAAGGCAAUAAUAGACCCAUUUUCCUCUCUCCCAGACAGAUUUGUGGUACGUCUCUUAAUGAAGCUAUUGACAUUUGUGACAAGGUAAGGUUUUCAUCUCUCUUUAGCAAUAAGAAAAGAUCUGGACUGUAAUGAUCACUAUGCAUACUGGGUUGAUAUACCUGCUUCUUUGGAAAAGGACAAUAAUGGAUAUUUUAAAUUACUUUAAAGCCCUGGAGUAUAAGCAGCUUCUUAGAACAAUAUUAUUCUCUUACAGAUUGGACACCGAGGCGGAUUUGAUUAAUUUUUUAAAGGAAACAAGUAUUUUUUUUAAACAAUUUUUGUUUUUUUUAAGAAAACAGAAACAUGCCUCUUCUUCUGUUUAAAACCCUGAUGUUUUUCAGCCUAGCUCCAACAGGUAUUAAUUGUAUUCUGCAGGUGACAAGAGUGACCUAAAAGGCAGAGGCCAUGGACAGCAAUAGUCUGUACAGCAAUUUCUGAUGGGAUCUGGUAGAUGGAGGAUCAGGUUUUGCACAGAACAACAUUAGUCGUAGUUCAGAUCCCGGGGUCAAGGUGUAAUGUAGCAUUGAAUACAGUAGAUACAGGUCCACAAAUGGAAAAUGAAUUAGAAAGAGAAUUGCAGUGCGGACACUGCAAUGCAAUGAAACAGCAUAGGGUUUGAACUCCGAUUUGUUUCACUCCUGAACCAAUUUUUGGCCCCAACAGAAUCAAGUAUUGUAGCAAAAAAUUGAACAAAUCAAUCAAUCAAUCAGUAGAAGCAGGAUCUGACCUCAUAAACAAGAUGUAUUUAAAAUGCAAAUAAUUUUGCUUUUGGGGACCGUCAAGUAUCCCACAUGCGAGUGAACCUGCCCAAGCUGAAACAACUACAGAAAACUAAGUAGCAGCCCUGCAGAUGGUACAGGGAAGCAAAGGGCCACGCGUACUGCCUUCAUCUUGCACAGAAAACAGAGCGAUUGCUGUAUAUUUCCAUCACGGUUUGGUGUUUAUUCUCUCCCCAACCACUCCCUUUCCCACUGGAACUUGUCCGCGUGUUUGCCCACAAUAACAUAUUCAUGUAAUGAGAGAGGCCAAUGCAGACUCCCAAUACCUCAGACCUUUCCAAUCAAGAAGAAUUGCAGAGCUUUUGGCGAGGUGAUGCAGGGCAGGAGGGGGGGGGGAAAGUCUCUUUACCUGCAAGACUUCCUACCCUUGAAGAUCUUGUCCCCAUGUAUAAAGAUCAACCAAACAAGCUGCAAGAAAUCACACUGCAAUCUCCGAACAUCUCAAUCAUGCCAGAGAUGUUGGCAUUGCACCCCUAUCUCCUCAUUUUGACUGCUUUCCGAGCUGUUGUACUGCAUGUGGCUCAGCUAGAAUGAACUAGCGAGAUCCUUUGGUAGGAAGCUCACCAACCAGCAUCCGAAGGUCUACUCACUUGAUGGCCUUUCUGUUUGUAUUCAGUAUUUACAUAAUAAUAAUAAUAAUAAUAAUAAUAAUAAUAAUAAUAAAAAAAGACUCUUACCCUGGGCUGUUCCACUGGGCAUGAACCUGUCAUUAUUUUACUAAAGGGUCUAAAUAAUGGAGGUUGUAAGGAAGAGAAUGAAAGUGUGGUCACACACUUCGCCGUGUUGAAAAUUGCUGGCUCUUAACCCUUUUCCUUCCAGGAAUUGUCAAGUUCCCUCUGCCAGCUCCAUGUGUUGUUCUCACCACUCGGGUGAGUGUUAUUAACCACUAACUCCCUUUCCCUUGAGAUAUACAAAGAAUGCAGAUUAGGAAACAUAAUUAGCCAACUUUGCGGUAAAUGGGAAAGUGUUAGUUUUUAUUAACCUUUAACAUGCUGGGCCCAGGUUUGCUUUACCCCAAGGUUUGUGACAUAGGCAAAGCAGUCAUCUUGUUGUAAAUAUGCACGAGGACCUCUCUGAACAGCGACUUUUUAAAGGGACCUUUCAUCCCAUCGCCCUGAUACUUUAGUCUUUCCAGCAACAGAGUGGAUUCAGGGGGAGAGAGGAUUCAGGGCUGUUAGCACCCCUGCAUUUAGCAGGGUUGGUCAAUUUGGUAGUAAAAGGCCUCCAGAUCCUACCUUUAUUGCUAUGGGAGCUGAACAUACGGUGAAUUAAAAUGUCCUAAAUUGCCAAUUCAGGCCCCUCAGUUGUGAUCAGAAUCAGGGAAGUAGGCAGGAGUGUAUCUUUCAAAACCGGAUUAAGAAAAAAAAUAGCAGAGAGAGUAGAUGAUCCCCCCAAAUCUCUUUCAACUCCAAAUGAUGCUCCAUAACCCUUAGGUAUGAAGGUAGCUGAGCCAACACGAAGGCAACAUCACUACUGAAUAAAGAACGUGUGGAUGUGCCGUCUGCCAUUCAGGGGAUUAUGCCAGGGACAGCCGUGGGAAAAAUGCAAGCUACAUACUGAAUGACACAACUUCCUUAAUUUUCUACAGGCUUGAUCCUCUCAGAUAAUGAGCAACUUCUGAGUGGAGAGGGAGCUCACUUCUAGGGGAAAGUAUUUCAGCUUUUCCUAGGAGCAAGAUCUAAAAUGUGUGGGUGCAAAUGGACUAUGGACAUCACGUAUCUGAUAGUUAUCGGGACAUAUUCCCUAUGCUAUUGAAAGGACAUUUCUGUUUAUCCUGUAUAUGGCCAUUGCGGGGAGGCUCAUGUUAGCCCUAGAUCUAUACCUCAUUAUUUCAAGUGUUCUUCAUCUGUUUGUUGAAAUCAGUCUGUUUUGCCCAGGUUUGGCAUGCAGAUGGAAGAAAGGCAAGGCUACAUUUUACUAUUCUAAAAUGAAAUGUUUGCAGCCUCAAAAAAAUCCAGGUCAUGAAGAGGAAAGAGCUAGAGCGAGAAAGAAACACUUUGUGAACUGCAGUAGGAAUAUUUACUUUCUCUCCAUUUUUGUCUGACGGACAGUCAAGAUAAAUACCCAGUCUGUCGGUGCCCGUGCGUGAGUUUAUUCAAUGUGCUUGCAAAAUAUGCAGUGAGUUUGUUCACUUUCUCAAGCACCUCAUCAAAAAUCUAUUUACCUGUACCUCCUGGUAUUUGUCAAUGGUUUUUACCUAUUUCUAUAGCUCUGGAGUCAUUAAAACCUGUAUUAUUUGACCUAUUUCUAUAGCUCUGGAGUCAUUAAAACCUGUAUUAUUUAACCUAUUUUUAUAGCUCUGGAGUCAUUAAAACUUCCACUUGUCACUCCUUGUGCAAUAUGUGCACAGAGGAACUGAUAUGAUAGUGAUAAUGUUGCACAAGUGUCUGGCUCUCAACUUCCCCUGCCUGACCUUUGGCCACGUGGCUUCUGCAGACACUGGGUUUUACUGCCGUCACUUUUUUACAGACUAAGUUGGGAAGACUCCCCACCACUUUUGGAGAAUGUGCCGCUCAGAUACGACACUCCUGCAAUGGAGAUGAAUGGCAAGAAAGAAUGAAACCCAUUCAAGGUCUUCUCAUAAAAACCUCUAAUGGGGUCUACGAGAGGGAACUAAGAGACAUGCCUGGUUACAAAUAUUUAUAAGCUUGUACAUGUAAGAUACAAUUCACGAGCAAAAAUUCACAUCUCUAAUGGAAAAAGAUGUCUAAUAGAGACAGCACUUAGAUACUUCUGGAUAAAACUAGCUAGACAGCUGCGUCACGUCAAAUUAGAAAAUCUUUUAUUGAAAGGAAAAGAUGCUCUCACCCUCAAGGGUUAAGUUUUCAACUGUACGUCAUCCUCUUCAUCCCAUCUUUCAAGCCCAGAUCAGUGCAACAGGAAAGGAUAUUUUAGAAACUUUUCAUGUAACUUCAACUUCCCUGUGCGUAAUGGUCGUUAUGGAAUUAUUUGUCUUUCUGCGACUCAUGCAAGCAAAACAUGAAUCUGUUAAUAGCAAGCCACAUUUCGUUGCUAAAGAAGAGCUCUUUGGGCAGAGCUGCCAAUUCCUUCAGAGAACGAAGACUUUUGCUACAAUAUAUGCGCUUUUCUCCAACCCAUUCAAUACAAAACAUUGAGUGGCC